CUGCUUCCGGUUUUACACAGAACUGAAUUUUCGCCGUUUUUUCUCCACAUAAAAGAACUGAGCACCUUCUCCAGCGGUCAGGGAUGAGCGCUCUCCUCUCACGGCUGUACCAAGCACACGCCCAAUUAGCAUCGCAUGAUUCUUUGUUCACCGUAGAGGCAUCAAGACAAAGACAGUUUUCUUCAUGAAUUCAACGUAACACAGGUGAUCCACCUCUGAGUGCAUGGAUGCCACAAUAGAGCAACACUGCCACCUAGGAUGGGCUGCACCACCCUGCAGGGAUGGAGACCACAGCACACUGCUGAGGAAGGGAAAGCAAAACUAACGAGUGGCGACAUCUACUGGAUAAACUGCAGUAUUGAUGCUAGGCGUCCUGUGCUACGUCAAUAUAAAGUGGGCCAACCAUAAAAUAAAGGUUGAAAUACGUACGGUCCGAUUAUCUAAUAAUAAUAAUGAAAGAAAUAAACGAUUUUGUUCACAGCCUUGCU